rnacentral:rRNA from 1 species
GUGGCCUGAUGUAUACUCCAACCCAUGUGAACAUACCUCAUGUUGCCUCGGCAGGUCGUGCCUCCCUCGUAGGUCCUACCCUGUAGGCUCCUACCCGGAAGGCGCGGGUACCCCUGCCGGUGGCCCAGGAAACUCUGUCUCAUCGUUGAAUUCUGAACCUAUAACUAAAUAAGUUAAAACUUUCAACAACGGAUCUCUUGGUUCUGGCAUCGAUGAAGAACGCAGCGAAAUGCGAUAAGUAAUGUGAAUUGCAGAAUUCAGUGAAUCAUCGAAUCUUUGAACGCACAUUGCGCCCAUUAGUAUUCUAGUGGGCAUGCCUGUUCGAGCGUCAUUUCAACCCUUAAGCCCUUGUUGCUUAGCGUUGGGAGCCUACGGCACCGUAGCUCCCCAAAGUCAGUGGCGGAGCCGGCUCACACUCUAGACGUAGUAAUUUCUCACCUCGCCUAUAGUUGGACCGGUCCUCUGCCGUAAAACGCCCCAGUAUUUAAAAGGUUGACCUCGAAUCAGGUAGGAAUACCCGCUGAACUUAAGCAUAUCAAUAAGCGGAGGAACGAUCAUUAAAGAGUGUACUAGCUCCAUACCCAUGUGAAAUACGUCAGGAUGCCUCCGCAGGUGAGCGUCUCUAAUUUCCUCGGAUUCGCAUCCCCGUCUAGGGGGGGGUACCCGCCGGGGGGCCUGGAAAAUUGGGCUCACAGGACUUUUUCACAACAAUAAAAAGUUUAAACUUUAAUAGGAUCUCGGGAUUCUGAAAGAUGAACAAACCAGCAAAAGGGCUAACUAAGGUGCAAUUGAUAACUCUCAUGAAACACGAAACUUGACAGUAAAAGUGCAUUCAUUAUCUUCAGGAGCGGCACGGAAUUCAAGCUCUCUUACCCUAUGACUCCUGUGGUUGUCCUCUUGUGUGCAGCA